rnacentral:rRNA from 1 species
UACGUAGGGUGCAAGCGUUGUCCGGAAUUAUUGGGCGUAAAGAGCUCGUAGGCGGUCUGUCGCGUCGGCUGUGAAAACUUCGGGGCUCAACCCCAGCUCGCAGUCGAUACGGGCAGACUAGAGUGCGGUAGGGGAGACUGGAAUUCCUGGUGUAGCGGUGAAAUGCGCAGAUAUCAGGAGGAACACCGGUGGCGAAGGCGGGUCUCUGGGCCGUAACUGACGCUGAGGAGCGAAGGCCGGGGAGCAAACAGG